rfam:Triticum aestivum genome assembly, contig: Triticum_aestivum_CS42_TGACv1_scaffold_222150_3B
UAUGUUAUUCCUCCGUCCGAAAAUACUUGUCAUCAAAAUGAAUAAAAGGGGGGUGUAUCUACAACUAAUAUACGUCUGGAUACAUCAUAUUUUAUUCAUUUUGAUGACAAGUAUUUCUAGACGGAGGGAGUACUUU